rnacentral:piRNA from 1 species
UUACAGUCUUCAUUGAGCAUGGGUGUGUCA